GUGCUCACUUCGGCAGAACAUAUACUAAAGUUGGAACGAUACAAAGAAGAUUAGCAAGGCCCCUGAGCAAGGGUGACACACAAAUUUGUGAAGUGUUCCGUAUUUUU
rnacentral:snRNA from 1 species